rnacentral:rRNA from 1 species
AUGAACGCUGGCGGCGUGCCUAAUACAUGCAAGUCGAGCGAACAGAUGAGGAGCUUGCUCCUCUGACGUUAGCGGCGGACGGGUGAGUAACACGUGGAUAACCUACCUAUAAGACUGGGAUAACUUCGGGAAACCGGAGCUAAUACCGGAUAAUAUAUUGAACCGCAUGGUUCAAUAGUGAAAGACGGUUUUGCUGUCACUUAUAGAUGGAUCCGCGCCGCAUUAGCUAGUUGGUAAGGUAACGGCUUACCAAGGCAACGAUGCGUAGCCGACCUGAGAGGGUGAUCGGCCACACUGGAACUGAGACACGGUCCAGACUCCUACGGGAGGCAGCAGUAGGGAAUCUUCCGCAAUGGGCGAAAGCUUGACGGAGCAACGCCGCGUGAGUGAUGAAGGUCUUCGGAUCGUAAAACUCUGUUAUUAGGGAAGAACAAAUGUGUAAGUAACUAUGCACGUCUUGACGGUACCUAAUCAGAAAACCACGGCUAACUACGU